CAGACAACCUGUAUCUGGUCCUCAAGCUCUUCACCUCUACCGCAGACAACCACUCACUUUCUUUUCUUUCUCUCUCUUUCUUUCUUUUCUUUCUUUCAUUUUCUCUUUUUCCCCCCUCAGUGUAUAGCUGUUCAUCUCAGCGUUCCACAAAACUUUUUGUAUUUUAAAGAAAUGACACAUGAUAGACAAAACUAGAGCCCCUUGGACAUUUUCUUCCUUUACUGCACAAACCGCUUUCCCUCCUGUGAGUCUCCAUCCUGGAACUCUAGCCAGUGGAAUUGUGCUGACUGAUCUUCAGUAAAACAUAUGCUUUCACUGGAAAAGCUCUGAGAAGUCUGGCAUCAGGGAUGUCUUGUGGAUUUAGGAAUAUCUUUGCCUUUUAAGAAGAAAUGCUAAAAGGGAGAAGGAAUACUGGAUUUAGAAACAAACUCCAUGGGCUCUAAGUCUUGUUCUACUGGUUUUGGUCUUUGAUGUUUUAGAUGAAAGGAAGGAGACACAGAAAGCCUAAAUAGCCAGCAAACAGCUGAUUCUGGAUUUAAGCCCUCCAAACCAACUUACCUUUCAAAGGUAAAGUUUAAAUGCCUGAUGAUCUUUUCCAUUUUUCCCCAACCAAGGUCUGCCAUUGAGGCUGAAGAGAAUUGGCAGGAGAUAAGCGAAGAAUACCUGGAGGGGUCGUUCUCUUUUCAAAUCAGCAUUUAAUAGGCUCCUGAAAAUUGGCAGACUUGUAUAUCACUGACAAAGUGUCUACUUUCCUGUAACAUCAAAGAGUAAUUGUCAUUUUUUUUAUGAAUAUAAGUCGAUACAGGCAGGAAACAACCCACACAGUUUGCCACCUUUUCUCUUGCGAAGUUAAUUGAUUUCUGCUAGUUCAAAUUUUAUGUCUAAAAUCAAGUUUCCAAUAAGAAAGCACGUAUAUAUAUACUUUCUCUAAAAUGAAUGCAGAGACCAGGCACUACAUAGGGAUUGAAGCAAACAUUUGAACAUGUUUCCGUCCUUCAAACGUUUCUCUCUAUAAAUCAUGUCAAAUGCAUCUCUGCAGAUAUGCCAGGUAUAAGGCCUAUAGUCAUAAAAAUGCCCAAAAUGCAUGUGUAGAAUAUCAGCUAUGUGUACUUGUUCAUUUUUCUCCUUCCUGGGAUCAUUCCCAUUUCUCUUGGAUUGAAACUGGAGAACAGGGAUGUUAAGUGAUUUGCGAAAAGUACAUCUACGCAACUACUAAACACAGAAAUGAGACUAUAAACGCAACACUGAGUCAUUGUGAUAAACAAGAGGAAGACAUGUUGUAAGCAACCAUCUAUUGACUGGGCCAUCCAUGUGCAUAAUCAAUCCCCUGACAAUGAAGACAGAGGAAGAGAGGAGGAGAGCAGAGUGAAGCAAUGAUGACACCUUCCAUUAAGGAGUAAAUGACCAGGAAAUCAACAGAUGAGGACUAAGGCUAGUACAGUUCCCGCAGUGGAACGAUUUGGGGGUUAUUUGGUUUUGUUUUCUUUUGUUUUGUUUUCCUAACAAAAAGAAGAGGGAAAAUGGAAGAAUAAUCUGGAAAUGUAGGGAGACUGUUGCCCACAAGUGAGAGUUCUUUAAUUGUCACUCAAAGUCACUAAUAUGAUUAGCUCUAGUGUAGUUGUUACUCAAGAAAUGGGUUCAAGGAAAACAACUGGCACAGAGUAUUGUAAGAGAGGAGAUGGGAAUGGUCUGAAGUUAGCAGUGGGAUUUCUGUCCAUCAGCAAAUGAUGGACCAUCAGCAAAUGAUGGACCAUUUUAAAAGUCUCUUCCUUUGGGUCCUCCACAUCCAGGCUGGGUGAUGUGUUAACCACUUCUUCUUCACCACACCAGACAAAGCGAGUUUUGAAAUCCAGCUGACAAUCAUGCAUGUUGUAUUUUCUCAUCUUUGCCAGUUCUAGUCUCUUCUUCUCUUUCGCCCAAGGAUUGCUUUUUAAAACUUUUCACUAAAACUGGGCUUUUUCUCAGGGAUGAUAGAGAAGAGGAAAACUAAAGAGAAGAGAGAGUUUGUUAUUCUAGAUACAGCUGAACAAGUGAGGUGUGGGGCAAGGGCCAAGCUGGAAGGAUGUAAAAAAGUAGAAAGAGAGAUGUUUGCUUUGAAACUGCACAGCGGGCCCUGUCCCCAGACAGUCAGGAUCCUGGCUUGUGAUCCAGGCCUGAGGCUCACCAGCACAGUCUCCAAGAUCUUCCCCCCACUUCAUUGUCAGCCCGAGCUCUCUUAUCCACAGUCCCCCCAACACGGUGUCCCUUCAGCCUCUCACCUGCCUUGCCUUGCUUUGGACAUUGUCUCCUCAACUAUGUCCUUCCCUCCUGCCUUUUAAGUUUGGAAAUAAACAAAGCAAACCACAUGAGCAAGAACUUCCUGGUUUCAGAACUGACAGCUCUUUCAUCACAGAGUAGAUAAACAUAGAGUUUAAGACGAAUUUUUUUUUUCAAGGUAAAAUGUCUUAGCUCUUGUAGACUGAGUGUGUUUGGGGUUGAUUCACCAUUGAUAACAAUUCUCCCAUAACUGUUUGUCAACCUGGGCUCUACUUCCUGUCCUGAGCCUGCCCCCUGGGCUCUUAGGCCAUUCAGCUUAGAAUCAAAACUUACCUACAAAACCACCAGGGAAUAUUGGGAUUUUUAAUAUGAUCACUGUGAUUGAUGUUUCUAAAGGAUAAAGAAAUUCAUAGAGCAGAGACUGUGUGAAUUGAAUGGACAUUUGAAAGCAAUGCAGAAAGAAAAAAAAGAAAGCAAUGCAGAAUAGGAAAACAAAUAGAAUAUUAACCUAGGUAAGAGAAGAUCUGUGCUUUUUAAAAAAUGCUUAUCAUUAUUUUACACAUGUAUUUUUAAAAUUUUAUAAAUUCUAUCAUCCUUAGAUGACCAAAGACCUUUUUAUUAUGUGAACUUCUGUUUUGCAUAUACCUAAAUCCUUCAGAAUGCAAACCUCUUACAAAGUGAACAGAAACACUCUCAGAAUCCUCUCAAGACUAACCAAAACCAAAAUAAACAUACAAUGAUAUUUCUCCAAAGAAAUGCUUGUUACACUGUCGGAAGUCCCGCCAAACUCGGUCAAUGCAAUAG